GGGUUGUGAGGUUAAGCGACUAAGCGUACACGGUGGAUGCCCUGGCAGUCAGAGGCGAUGAAGGACGUGCUAAUCUGCGAUAAGCGUCGGUAAGGUGAUAUGAACCGUUAUAACCGGCGAUUUCCGAAUGGGGAAACCCAGUGUGAUUCGUCACACUAUCAUUAACUGAAUCCAUAGGUUAAUGAGGCGAACCGGGGGAACUGAAACAUCUAAGUACCCCGAGGAAAAGAAAUCAACCGAGAUUCCCCCAGUAGCGGCGAGCGAACGGGGAGCAGCCCAGAGCCUGAAUCAGUGUGUGUGUUAGUGGAAGCGUCUGGAAAGGCGCGCGAUACAGGGUGACAGCCCCGUACACAAAAAUGCACAUGCUGUGAGCUCGAUGAGUAGGGCGGGACACGUGGUAUCCUGUCUGAAUAUGGGGGGACCAUCCUCCAAGGCUAAAUACUCCUGACUGACCGAUAGUGAACCAGUACCGUGAGGGAAAGGCGAAAAGAACCCCGGCGAGGGGAGUGAAAAAGAACCUGAAACCGUGUACGUACAAGCAGUGGGAGCCUCUUUAUGGGGUGACUGCGUACCUUUUGUAUAAUGGGUCAGCGACUUAUAUUCUGUAGCAAGGUUAACCGAAUAGGGGAGCCGAAGGGAAACCGAGUCUUAACUGGGCGUUAAGUUGCAGGGUAUAGACCCGAAACCCGGUGAUCUAGCCAUGGGCAGGUUGAAGGUUGGGUAACACUAACUGGAGGACCGAACCGACUAAUGUUGAAAAAUUAGCGGAUGACUUGUGGCUGGGGGUGAAAGGCCAAUCAAACCGGGAGAUAGCUGGUUCUCCCCGAAAGCUAUUUAGGUAGCGCCUCGUGAAUUCAUCUCCGGGGGUAGAGCACUGUUUCGGCAAGGGGGUCAUCCCGACUUACCAACCCGAUGCAAACUGCGAAUACCGGAGAAUGUUAUCACGGGAGACACACGGCGGGUGCUAACGUCCGUCGUGAAGAGGGAAACAACCCAGACCGCCAGCUAAGGUCCCAAAGUCAUGGUUAAGUGGGAAACGAUGUGGGAAGGCCCAGACAGCCAGGAUGUUGGCUUAGAAGCAGCCAUCAUUUAAAGAAAGCGUAAUAGCUCACUGGUCGAGUCGGCCUGCGCGGAAGAUGUAACGGGGCUAAACCAUGCACCGAAGCUGCGGCAGCGACGCUUAUGCGUUGUUGGGUAGGGGAGCGUUCUGUAAGCCUGUGAAGGUGUGCUGUGAGGCAUGCUGGAGGUAUCAGAAGUGCGAAUGCUGACAUAAGUAACGAUAAAGCGGGUGAAAAGCCCGCUCGCCGGAAGACCAAGGGUUCCUGUCCAACGUUAAUCGGGGCAGGGUGAGUCGACCCCUAAGGCGAGGCCGAAAGGCGUAGUCGAUGGGAAACAGGUUAAUAUUCCUGUACUUGGUGUUACUGCGAAGGGGGGACGGAGAAGGCUAUGUUGGCCGGGCGACGGUUGUCCCGGUUUAAGCGUGUAGGCUGGUUUUCCAGGCAAAUCCGGAAAAUCAAGGCUGAGGCGUGAUGACGAGGCACUACGGUGCUGAAGCAACAAAUGCCCUGCUUCCAGGAAAAGCCUCUAAGCAUCAGGUAACAUCAAAUCGUACCCCAAACCGACACAGGUGGUCAGGUAGAGAAUACCAAGGCGCUUGAGAGAACUCGGGUGAAGGAACUAGGCAAAAUGGUGCCGUAACUUCGGGAGAAGGCACGCUGAUAUGUAGGUGAAGCGACUUGCUCGUGGAGCUGAAAUCAGUCGAAGAUACCAGCUGGCUGCAACUGUUUAUUAAAAACACAGCACUGUGCAAACACGAAAGUGGACGUAUACGGUGUGACGCCUGCCCGGUGCCGGAAGGUUAAUUGAUGGGGUUAGCGCAAGCGAAGCUCUUGAUCGAAGCCCCGGUAAACGGCGGCCGUAACUAUAACGGUCCUAAGGUAGCGAAAUUCCUUGUCGGGUAAGUUCCGACCUGCACGAAUGGCGUAAUGAUGGCCAGGCUGUCUCCACCCGAGACUCAGUGAAAUUGAACUCGCUGUGAAGAUGCAGUGUACCCGCGGCAAGACGGAAAGACCCCGUGAACCUUUACUAUAGCUUGACACUGAACAUUGAGCCUUGAUGUGUAGGAUAGGUGGGAGGCUUUGAAGUGUGGACGCCAGUCUGCAUGGAGCCGACCUUGAAAUACCACCCUUUAAUGUUUGAUGUUCUAACGUUGACCCGUAAUCCGGGUUGCGGACAGUGUCUGGUGGGUAGUUUGACUGGGGCGGUCUCCUCCUAAAGAGUAACGGAGGAGCACGAAGGUUGGCUAAUCCUGGUCGGACAUCAGGAGGUUAGUGCAAUGGCAUAAGCCAGCUUGACUGCGAGCGUGACGGCGCGAGCAGGUGCGAAAGCAGGUCAUAGUGAUCCGGUGGUUCUGAAUGGAAGGGCCAUCGCUCAACGGAUAAAAGGUACUCCGGGGAUAACAGGCUGAUACCGCCCAAGAGUUCAUAUCGACGGCGGUGUUUGGCACCUCGAUGUCGGCUCAUCACAUCCUGGGGCUGAAGUAGGUCCCAAGGGUAUGGCUGUUCGCCAUUUAAAGUGGUACGCGAGCUGGGUUUAGAACGUCGUGAGACAGUUCGGUCCCUAUCUGCCGUGGGCGCUGGAGAACUGAGGGGGGCUGCUCCUAGUACGAGAGGACCGGAGUGGACGCAUCACUGGUGUUCGGGUUGUCAUGCCAAUGGCACUGCCCGGUAGCUAAAUGCGGAAGAGAUAAGUGCUGAAAGCAUCUAAGCACGAAACUUGCCCCGAGAUGAGUUCUCCCUGAC
rnacentral:rRNA from 1 species